AAAUUGAAGAGUUUGAUCAUGGCUCAGAUUGAACGCUGGCGGCAGGCCUAACACAUGCAAGUCGAACGGUAACAGGAAGCAGCUUGCUGCUUUGCUGACGAGUGGCGGACGGGUGAGUAAUGUCUGGGAAACUGCCUGAUGGAGGGGGAUAACUACUGGAAACGGUGGCUAAUACCGCAUAAUGUCGCAAGACCAAAGAGGGGGACCUUCGGGCCUCUUGCCAUCAGAUGUGCCCAGAUGGGAUUAGCUUGUUGGUGAGGUAACGGCUCACCAAGGCGACGAUCCCUAGCUGGUCUGAGAGGAUGACCAGCCACACUGGAACUGAGACACGGUCCAGACUCCUACGGGAGGCAGCAGUGGGGGAUAUUGCACAAUGGGCGCAAGCCUGAUGCAGCCAUGCCGCGUGUAUGAAGAAGGCCUUCGGGUUGUAAAGUACUUUCAGCGGGGAGGAAGGUGUUGUGGUUAAUAACCGCAGCAAUUGACGUUACCCGCAGAAGAAGCACCGGCU
rnacentral:rRNA from 1 species